rnacentral:rRNA from 1 species
GAGAGUUAAAUAGUACGUGAAAUUGUUGAAAGGGAAACGAUUGAAGCCAGUCGUACCUUCGGGUAAUCAGCCUUUCGGGUGCGAUUUUGUGGAGCGUGAAGAGUUAAACGCCUUCAUGCCUGCAUAUUCGUGCACUUUGGGUGUACUUGCCCGUAUGGUUGGUUAACAUCAAUUUUGGUGGUCAUAAAAUGACUGGAGGAAUGUAGCUUCGAUCUCGUAUUGAAGUGUUAUAGCCUUCGGUAGAUGUGAUGAUCGAGAUUGAGGAUUGCAACGGAUACCCUUCGGGGCUACCUGUCUGAUCUCUGAUCGUUGCUUUGGUGCCGAAAGCUUGCUUACGGUUAUCAAAGUCGAUGGUCAAUAGGUUAGAACGGGUUAAAUUCGUUAAGGAUGUUGACGUAAUGGCUUUAAACGA